GAUGAAGAACGCAGCGAAAUGCGAUACGUAAUGUGAAUUGCAAAUUCAGUGAAUCAUCGAAUCUUUGAACGCACAUUGCGCCCCUUGGUAUUCCGAGGGGCAUGCCUGUUCGAGCGUCAUUAUAACCCCUCAAGCUCAGCUUGGUGUUGGGGCCUGCCGCACGGGCAGCCCUUAAAAUCAGUGGCGGUGCCAUCUGGCUCUAAGCGUAGUAAUUCUUCUCGCUAUAGAGUCCCGGUGGAUGCUUGCCAUUAACCCCCAAUUUUCUAUGGUUGACCUCGGAUCAGGUAGGGAUACCCGCUGAACUUAAGCAUAUCAAUAAGCGGAGGA
rnacentral:misc_RNA from 1 species